GGUAAUUUUCCGCAAUGGGCGAAAGCCUGACGGAGCAAUACCGCGUGAGGGACGACGGCUUUUGGGUUGUAAACCUCUUUUCCCUGGGAAGAAGAUCUGACGGUACCAGGGGAAUCAGCAUCGGCUAACUUCGUGCCAGCAGCCGCGGUAAUACGAGGGAUGCAAGCGUUAUCCGGAAUUAUUGGGCGUAAAGCGUCCGCAGGUGGCUUUGUAAGUCUGUCGUUAAAGCGUGGAGCUCAACUCCAUAUCGGCGAUGGAAACUACAAGACUAGAGUUUGGUAGGGGUCACGGGAAUUCCUAGUGUAGCGGUGAAAUGCGUAGAUAUUAGGAAGAACACCAGCGGCGAAAGCGCGUGACUGGGCCAAUACUGACACUCAUGGACGAAAGCUAGGGGAGCGAAAGGGAUUAGAUACCCCUGUAGUCCUAGCCGUAAACGAUGAUAACUAGGUGUUGCUCGUAUCGACCCGAGCAGUGCCGUAGCCAACGCGUUAAGUUAUCCG
rnacentral:rRNA from 1 species